GUUUCCGUAGGUGAACNUGCGGAAGGAUCAUUG
rnacentral:rRNA from 1 species